rnacentral:rRNA from 1 species
UACGAAGGGGGCUAGCGUUGUUCGGAGUUAUUGGGCGUAAAGGGCGCGUAGGCGGCGCAUCAAGUCAGGCGUGAAAGCCCUGGGCUCAACCCGGGAAUUGCGCUUGAGACUGGUGUGCUCGAGUACGGGAGAGGAUAGUGGAAUUCCCAGUGUAGAGGUGAAAUUCGUAGAUAUUGGGAAGAACACCAGUGGCGAAGGCGGCUAUCUGGACCGGUUCUGACGCUGAAGCGCGAAAGCGUGGGGAGCAAACGGG